rnacentral:rRNA from 1 species
GAUUGAACGCUGGCGGUAUGCUUAACACAUGCAAGUCGAACGGAAACGAUACUAGCUUGCUAGUAGGCGUCGAGUGGCGGACGGGUGAGUAACGCGUAGGAAUCUGCCUGAUAGUGGGGGAUAGCCCGAAGAAAUUCGGAUUAAUACCGCAUAAUCUAUUCGUAGUAAAGUGGGGGACUUUCGAGCCUCACGCUAUCAGAUGAGCCUGCGUAAGAUUAGCUUGUUGGUAGGGUAAAAGCCUACCAAGGCGACGAUCUUUAGCUGGUCUGAGAGGAUGAUCAGCCACAUCGGGACUGAGACACGGCCCGAACUCCUACGGGAGGCAGCAGUGGGGAAUAUUGGACAAUGGGGGCAACCCUGAUCCAGCAAUACCGCGUGUGUGAAGAAGGCCUGAGGGUUGUAAAGCACUUUCAAUUGUGAAGAAAAGUUAGCGGUUAAUAACCGUUAGCCUUGACGUUAACUUUAGAAGAAGCACCGGCUAACUCCGUGCCAGCAGCCGCGGUAAUACGGAGGGUGCAAGCGUUAAUCGGAAUUACUGGGCGUAAAGCGUGCGUAGGCGGUUUAUUAAGUCAGAUGUGAAAGCCCCGGGCUUAACCUGGGAACUGCAUUUGAAACUGGUCAACUAGAGUAUGGUAGAGGAAAGUGGAAUUUCUGGUGUAGCGGUGAAAUGCGUAGAUAUCAGAAGGAACAUCAAUGGCGAAGGCAGCUUUCUGGACCAAUACUGACGCUGAGGUACGAAAGCGUGGGUAGCAAACAGGAUUAGAUACCCUGGUAGUCCACGCCGUAAACGAUGAUAACUAGCCGUUGGGGGGAUUUACCCUUUAGUGGCGAAGCUAACGCGUUAAGUUAUCCGCCUGGGGAGUACGGCCGCAAGGUUAAAACUCAAAGGAAUUGACGGGGACCCGCACAAGCGGUGGAGCAUGUGGUUUAAUUCGAUGCAACGCGAAGAACCUUACCUGGUCUUGACAUCCUGCGAACUUUCUAGAAAUAGAUUGGUGCCUUCGGGAACGCAGUGACAGGUGCUGCAUGGCUGUCGUCAGCUCGUGUCGUGAGAUGUUGGGUUAAGUCCCGUAACGAGCGCAACCCCUAUCCUUAUUUGCCAGCACAUCAUGGUGGGAACUAUAAGGAGACUGCCGGUGAUAAACCGGAGGAAGGCGGGGACGACGUCAAGUCAUCAUGGCCCUUACGACCAGGGCUACGCACGUGCUACAAUGGGAAGGACAAAGAGCCGCGAAGCCGCGAGGUGUAGCUAAUCUCAUAAACCUUUUCGUAGUCCGGAUUGGAGUCUGCAACUCGACUCCAUGAAGUCGGAAUCGCUAGUAAUCGUAGAUCAGAAUGCUACGGUGAAUACGUUCCCGGGUCUUGUACUCACCGCCCGUCAA